UGUCGCUGAGGCUGGCAUCGCUGAGCCCCCGCGCGGGGGGCUGCCGCCCGAGCGCUGAUUGACAGGCCGCCUCGCCAAUGCCUGGAGGGAGAAAGGAGGCUCUUCCUUCGUAGUGUUCACCUGGCCAUCAGCAGUUGUCACCUGUGUGGAAAGAGACCACCACUUUCCCAUCGGCUCCAGCAAAAGUACCAGAAUUGGCCAUCAUUGUCUAAUUGGGUCAGGAUAAUGGGUUAGUUCAUUUGUUCAUUGACCCUUCCACUGUUACGAGCUGUUGGGCCUAUUUCCCUUAAAGUGAAGGGAACUGAAGAACAAGGAAUUGAUGAAAUUUCCCCAAAGUCACAAAGCAAAUCACUGGAGGAUUUAACUCAAGUCAAGGUUCUUCUGUUGAAUCGAAGUAGCAAAUAUACCUUGUAAAGCUUAGUAAAUUUGAUCUUUUAUUCUCCAUUCUUCACUUUGGGCCAAUUUCUAAAAGAAUAUUUCCCUCAAAGAACCGAAAGCACCCUGGACAGAAGUAUGAGCUUGAGAUAUUUAUGAGAAUAAAGUUGGAUAUUAAAGACAGGAGGGAAAAUGGUGGAAAGAAAAAAGUCAUUAAGUGAAAGUUGAGGAGAUGUGGUAACAAGCAAGUCAGAUGGUGGGUUCAGUUUCUGAGAAGAGUCGGCAGGAUCCUCCAGCAAGAUGCAUUCUACCCUCUCUUCAUUUCUUUGUAUGAGUAUUGUACUGCAACAAGACAGGAUGUGUUCAUAUUCUUACUCCAGAGUACCACAGGAGGACCAGCUUCCAUGAAGAAGGUUCUGAAAUGAGCCAGUGACAUACAGUCUUAGACAUCGGCAAUUUGAGGUUUCCUGACAUCACACAUUAGACAAUUUACUGGGAUUUCUACAAGUUAAUCCAUGCCAAAUGUCCGCAACCAAGAAAGCAGGUGGAUUUGACUGAUGUACUGGUUGUUUGGAGUAUUCCAUGGUUUGCUAACAAAGCUCCUAAACCCGUCGAGGAAGAUGGAGUUGAUAGGGCGAGCCUCAUCGUGCCGCGAAGAAGCAGUCUCGGAAGUUGCAGUGUCGCUCUAAGGCGCAGAGGUAACUGAACUGAGACAUAAACCCAGUUC